UACGUAGGGGGCUAGCGUUGUCCGGAAUCAUUGGGCGUAAAGCGCGCGUAGGCGGCCCAGUAAGUCCGUUGUAAAAGUCAAAGGCUCAACCUUUGAAAGCCGAUGGAUACUGCUGGGCUAGAGUCCGGAAGAGGCGAGUGGAAUUCCUGGUGUAGCGGUGAAAUGCGCAGAUAUCAGGAGGAACACCUAUUGCGAAGGCAGCGCGCUGGGACGUAACUGACGCUGAGACGCGAAAGCGUGGGGAGCAAACAGG
rnacentral:rRNA from 1 species